CAUGCAAGUCGAGCGGAUGAAGAGAGCUUGCUCUCUGAUUCAGCGGCGGACGGGUGAGUAAUGCCUAGGAAUCUGCCUGGUAGUGGGGGACAACGUUUCGAAAGGAACGCUAAUACCGCAUACGUCCUACGGGAGAAAGCAGGGGACCUUCGGGCCUUGCGCUAUCAGAUGAGCCUAGGUCGGAUUAGCUAGUUGGUGAGGUAAUGGCUCACCAAGGCGACGAUCCGUAACUGGUCUGAGAGGAUGAUCAGUCACACUGGAACUGAGACACGGUCCAGACUCCUACGGGAGGCAGCAGUGGGGAAUAUUGGACAAUGGGCGAAAGCCUGAUCCAGCCAUGCCGCGUGUGUGAAGAAGGUCUUCGGAUUGUAAAGCACUUUAAGUUGGGAGGAAGGGUUGUAGAUUAAUACUCUGCAAUUUUGACGUUACCGACAGAAUAAGCACCGGCUAACUCUGUGCCAGCAGCCGCGGUAAUACAGAGGGUGCAAGCGUUAAUCGGAAUUACUGGGCGUAAAGCGCGCGUAGGUGGUUUGU
rnacentral:rRNA from 1 species